rnacentral:tRNA from 1 species
GGGAAUGUAGUUCCAUGAUAGAACUCCAGCCUUCUAAGCUGGCAGGGUGGGUUCAACUCCCAUUACCUCCU